UGGGGAAUUUUGGACAAUGGACGAAAGUCUGAUCCAGCCAUUCCGCGUGCAGGAUGAAGGCCCUCGGGUUGUAAACCGCUUUCAGCAGGGAAGAAGCGAAAGUGACGGUACCUGCAAAAGAAGCACCGGCUAACUAUGUGCCAGCAGCCGCGGUAAUACGGAGGGUGCAAGCGUUAUCCGGAUUCACUGGGUUUAAAGGGUGCGUAGGCGGGCAGGUAAGUCAGUGGUGAAAUCCUGGAGCUCAACUCCAGAACUGCCAUUGAUACUAUCUGUCUUGAAUAUUGUGGAGGUAAGCGGAAUAUGUCAUGUAGCGGUGAAAUGCUUAGAUAUGACAUAGAACACCCAUUGCGAAGGCAGCUUACUACGCAUAUAUUGACGCUGAGGCACGAAAGCGUGGGGAUCAAACAGG
rnacentral:rRNA from 1 species